rnacentral:rRNA from 1 species
CUACGGGGGGCAUCAUUAUUUCCUCUUCCCCAAUUUUCUCCCUCCUGAUUUAGCAACGCCGCGUGGGUGAAGAAGGUCUUCGGAUCGUAAAACCCUGUUGUUAGAGAAGAAAGUGCGUGAGAGUAACUGUUCACGUUUCGACGGUAUCUAACCAGAAAGCCACGGCUAACUACGUGCCAGCAGCCGCGGUAAUACGUAGGUGGCAAGCGUUAUCCGGAUUUAUUGGGCGUAAAGGGAACGCAGGCGGUCUUUUAAGUCUGAUGUGAAAGCCUUCGGCUUAACCGGAGUAGUGCAUUGGAAACUGG